GUGGGGAAUAUUGGACAAUGGGCGAAAGCCUGAUCCAGCCAUGCCGCGUGUGUGAAGAAGGUCUUCGGAUUGUAAAGCACUUUAAGUUGGGAGGAAGGGCAGUAAGUUAAUACCUUGCUGUUUUGACGUUACCAACAGAAUAAGCCCCGGCUAACUUCGUGCCAGCAGCCGCGGUAAUACGAAGGGGGCGAGCGUUAUUCGGAAUCACUGGGCGUAAAGCGUGCGUAGGCGGUUUUGUAAGUUAGGAGUGAAAGCCCAGGGCUCAACCUUGGAAUUGCUCUUAAAACUGCAAGGCUCGAAUCUCGGAGAGGAUAGCGGAAUUUCCAGUGUAGCAGUGAAAUGCGUAGAUAUUGGAAGGAACACCAGUGGCGUAAGCGGCUAUCUGGACGAGUAUUGACGCUGAGGCACGAAAGCGUGGGGAUCAAACAGGAUUAGAAACCCUAGUAGUCC
rnacentral:rRNA from 1 species